rnacentral:rRNA from 1 species
ACUCCUACGGGAGGCAGCAGUAAGGAAUCUUCCACAAUGGGGGCAACCCUGAUGGAGCAACGCCGCGUGAAGGAUGAAGGCCUUAGGGUCGUAAACUUCUUUUGUUAGCGAAGAAUAUGACGGUAACUAACGAAUAAGGGUCGGCUAACUACGUGCCAGCAGCCGCGGUCAUNCGUAGGACCCAAGCGUUAUCCGGAGUGACUGGGCGUAAAGAGUUGCGUAGGCGGCUCGUUAAGUGGAUAGUGAAACCUGGUGGCUCAACCAUACAGACUAUUAUCCAAACUGGCGAGCUCGAGAAUGGUAGAGGUAGCUGGAAUUUCUAGUGUAGGAGUGAAAUCCGUAGAUAUUAGAAGGAACACCAAUGGCGUAGGCAGGCUACUGGACCAUUUCUGACGCUAAGGCACGAAAGCGUGGGGAGCGAACCGGAUUAGAUACCCUGGUAG